GCCUUUCAUUGAAGGGAGCCGCGAGUUUCAAAUGCAGCGGCGUUUGCCAUGAUUCCCUGGGCCUGGCUUUCAGCGUAGCAAUUCUUCCGGCGAAGAAGGUGAGCGCAGUGCUGUGUGGCGGCAGAGCUGAGGACGAGGAGCAGCGGGACAAGGAAGGGCGACUCUGGUGAAAUCGCAAACUAGGUAUCUGUUCCGGCGCGGGACCCCUGUAUGCAAAGGUCCAUGGCUAAUGAAACACAGAAAGUUGGUACCAUCCAUUUUCCUUUUCCCUUCACGCCCUAUUCCAUCCAGGAAGACUUCAUGGCAGAGCUUUACCGGGUUUUGGAGGCUGGCAAGAUUGGGAUAUUUGAGAGUCCAACUGGCACUGGAAAGUCCUUAAGUCUUAUUUGUGGAGCCCUCUCCUGGCUCCGUGACUUUGAACAGAAGAAGCGUGAGGAAGAGGCACGACUCCUUGAAACUGGAACUGGCCCCUUACAUGAUGAGAAAGAUGAAUCCCUGUGUCUGUCGUCUUCCUGCAAAGGGGCCGCAGCCACCCCGAGGCCUGCUGGAGAGCCGGCCUGGGUGACUCAGUUUGUGCAGAAGAAAGAAGAGAGGGACCUGGUGGAUCGACUAAAGGCGGAGCAGGCCAGGAGGAAGCAGCGAGAAGAACGCCUGCAGCAGCUGCAGCACAGGGCGCAGUUCAAAUAUGCAGCCAAGCGCCUGAGGCAGGAAGAAGAAGAAACGGAGAAUCUCCUCCGCCUCAGCAGAGAGAUGCUAGAGACAGGCCCGGGGGCUGAGCGGCCGGAGCAGCUGGAGUCUGGGGAGGAGGAGCUGGUCCUUGCCGAAUACGAGAGCGACGAGGAGAAAAAGGCAGCGAGCGGAGUGGAUGAGGAUGAGGAUGACCUGGAGGAAGAACAUGUAACUAAGAUUUAUUACUGUAGUCGGACACACUCCCAGCUGGCCCAGUUUGUGCAUGAGGUGAAGAAGAGCCCCUUUGGCAAGGAUGUUCGGCUGGUCUCCCUUGGCUCCCGGCAGAACCUUUGUGUCAAUGAAGACGUGAAAAGCCUAGGUUCUGUGCAGCUUAUCAACGAUCGCUGUGUGGACAUGCAGAGAAGCAGGCACGAGAAGAAGAAAGGAGCUGAGGAGGAGAAGCCAAAGAGAAGGAGGCAGGAGAAGCAGGCGGCCUGCCCCUUCUACAACCACGAGCAGAUGGGCCUCCUCCGGGAUGAGGCCCUGGCAGAGGUGAAGGACAUUGAGCAGCUGCUGGCCCUUGGGAAGGAGGCCCGGGCCUGUCCCUAUUAUGGGAGCCGCCUUGCCAUCCCUGCAGCCCAGUAUUCCAGUGAAAUUCUAUGCAUGGGGACACCGGAGCCCAGAAAACUGGUGGUGCUGCCCUAUCAGAUGCUGCUGCAUGCUGCCACUCGGCAGGCUGCGGGCAUCCGGCUGCAGGCACAGGUGGUGAUCAUCGACGAAGCGCACAACCUGAUAGACACCAUCACGGGCAUGCACAGCGUGGAGGUCAGCGGCUCUCAGCUCUGCCAGGCCCAUUCCCAGCUGCUGCAGUACAUGGAGCGAUACGGGAAGCGUUUGAAGGCCAAGAACCUGAUGUACCUGAAGCAGAUCCUGUAUUUGCUGGAGAAAUUCGUGGCCGUGCUGGGGGGGAACAUUAAGCAAAAUCCCAAUACACAGAGCCUCUCACAGACAGGGACAGAGCUGAAGACCAUCAACGAUUUUCUCUUCCAGAGCCAGAUUGACAACAUCAACCUGUUCAAGGUGCAGCGAUACUGUGAGAAGAGCAUGAUCAGCAGAAAGCUCUUUGGAUUCACAGAACGGUAUGGAGCAGUGCUCUCAUCCCGGGAGCAGCCCAAACUGGCUGGGUUUCAGCAAUUCCUGCAGAGCCUGCAGCCCAGGACGACUGAAGCUCCUGCAGCCCCCGCAGACGAGAGUCAGGCUAGCGCCCCGCGACCAGCUUCCCCACUGAUGCACAUCGAAGGCUUCCUGGCAGCUCUCACUACAGCCAACCAGGACGGCAGGGUCAUCCUGAGCCGCCAAGGCAGCCUCAGUCAGAGCACCCUUAAGUUUUUGCUCCUGAAUCCAGCUGUGCACUUUGCCCAAGUGGUGAAGGAGUGCCGGGCAGUGGUCAUUGCAGGGGGAACCAUGCAGCCGGUGUCUGACUUCCGGCAGCAGCUGCUGGCCUGUGCCGGGGUGGAAGCUGAACGCGUGGUGGAGUUUUCCUGUGGUCACGUGAUCCCUCCAGACAAUAUCCUGCCCCUUGUCAUCUGCAGCGGGAUCUCCAACCAGCCGCUGGAAUUCACGUUCCAGAAAAGAGAGCUGCCUCAGAUGAUGGACGAGGCGGGUCGCAUCCUCUGUAACCUGUGCAGUGUGGUUCCUGGAGGGGUGGUCUGUUUCUUCCCCUCCUACGAGUACCUGCGCCAAGUCCAUGCCCACUGGGAGAAGGGUGGCCUGCUGGGCCGCCUGGCUGCCAGGAAGAAGAUAUUCCAGGAACCUAAGAGCGCGCACCAGGUGGAGCAGGUGCUGCUGGCAUAUUCCAGGUGCAUUCAGGCCUGUGGCCAGGAGAGAGGCCGGGUGACGGGGGCCCUUCUCCUCUCUGUUGUUGGAGGAAAGAUGAGUGAAGGGAUCAACUUCUCUGACAACCUAGGCCGGUGUGUGGUGAUGGUGGGCAUGCCCUUCCCCAACAUCAGGUCUCCAGAGCUGCAGGAGAAGAUGGCCUACUUGGAUCAAACCCUCCCCAGAGCCCCAGGCCAGGCGCCCCCAGGGAAGAAUCUGGUGGAGAACCUGUGCAUGAAGGCCGUCAACCAGUCCAUAGGCAGGGCCAUCAGGCACCAGAAGGAUUUUGCCAGCAUAGUGCUCCUGGACCAGCGAUACGCCCGGCCCCCUGUCCUGGCCAAGCUGCCGGCCUGGAUCCGAGCCCGUGUGGAGGUUAAAGCUACCUUUGGCCCUGCCAUUGCUGCUGUGCAGAAGUUUCACCGGGAGAAGUCGGCGUCUUCCUGAUGGGCAACCACACCACCGCCUGGCGCCGCGCCCUUCCUUUGCCCUGCCCGCUGGAGACAGUAUUUGUCGUGGGCCUGGUCUACAGGGAUCCUGUUACAAGGGUGAAACCCGGGAGGAGAGUGUGGAGUCCAGAGCGCUGCCAGCGCCCAGGCACAGGCAUUAGCUCCCGUAGGAGAAAAUGGGGGAAUCCUGAAGAAACAGUGGGUCCUGGCUGGCCUUGGGGCAUUCCAGGGCAGCUCCCCUCCUGGCAUAGAAUCUUCCUUUCCAUCCUGCAUGGCUGAGAGCCAGGCUUCCUGCCUGGUCUCCACAGGAAGCUGUGGCAACUGUGGCAUCCACUGUGGCAUCUCCAUCCUGCCCACCUUCUUAAGAGUUGAGAUAGAGCAGGCCUGUUUGCCUCUGCCCUUUCUAGCCAAGGUUAACUGCCCUGGACUGCUCAUCCUCUGGUCUCAAUUUAAAAUGAUCCCAUGGCCGCAGGGCUCCUGCCCAGGGACUUGUCACCUGCCCCUCCUUCCUGAGUCACACCUGCAGCCCUGCUCCCUAACCUGUCCCACAGCCCUGCCUGGAUUUGUGUCUCUCUGGCUUCGCACCAGUUCCUCCGCAUCUGUGGCACCUCCUUCCCUCUCAACCACUUAAACAAACUCCAAGACACCUUCUACCCCACACCAUCAAUUAUGCCAAGGGCCAUUAGGCUCUCAACAUGACUAUAGAGACCCCGUGUCAUCACGGAGACCUUUUUUCCUGUGGGAAAAUAUCCCUCCCACCUGCAACAGCUGCCCCUGCUGACUGCGCCUGUCUUCUCCCUCUGACCCCAGAGAAAGGGGCCGUGGCCAGCUGGCAUCUUCUGCCGCCAUUAGGGACCAACGGGGGCCAGAGGAGAGUCACUGAUGCCCAGAUGUUUGCAUCCUGCACAGCUACACGUCCUUAAUUAAAAGUGUACUUUUGGUU
ensembl:lncRNA